UUCGGUGGCUAUAGCGAGAGGGAUCCACCCGUUCCCAUUCCGAACACGGAAGUUAAGCCUCUCAGCGGCAAUGGUACUACAGAUAAGACUGUGGGAGAGUAGCACGCUGCCGGAU
rnacentral:rRNA from 1 species